AAUUACAGUUUUUUCCUUGGACAUGAGCCCUUGCACCAGGGCUAACGAGAAAGAAAAGGGUACUUAGUAUCUACCAUACGAUCCUGGGGCCAUACCUGUCCCUCCAGGCCAGAGGUUCUCAACCUUCCUAAUGCUGUGACUCAAUACAGUUUCUCAUGUUAUGGUAGCUCCCAACCGUAAAAUUAUUUCAUUGCUACUUCAUAACUGGAAUUUUGCUAUUGUUAUCAAUCAUAAUGUAAAUAUCUGAUAGGCGACCUCCAAAGGGGUGGAGACUCACAGGUUGAGACCUGUUGUCCUAGGCUAACAUCCCGGUAAAGAAUCUCAAGCACAGCUGGGUGUGGUGGAUCACGCCUUUAAUUCCAGCUCAGGAGGCAGAGGCAGGUAGAGUUCUGUGAGUUCAGAAGUCAGCCUAACAUAGUGAGCUCCAAGACAGCUAAGGCUACAGAGACCUUGUCUUAAAAAAUUAACCCCCCACCCAGAAAACAAUAACAAUCCUAUUGUGAGAAAGCAGCAUACAAACAGGAGGCGGAAGGCAGCAAAUUCAGUAAGCACGGGACAAAGAGAGGCUGUAGACUGAGGAGUUUUACCAUCGAAUCUUUCUACAUCACUGAAAGCAACGGUGGAGCAGAACCGCUUUUUGGUACACAGUACGAACAAAACUACACAGCGUUUCUUUUCUGUGGAGAUGAGAAUGUUGAUAGGACAGCCAGGAAAUGGGCUGGGAAGAUGGCUCAGGAGUUAAGAGCACCCGUGCUGAGUUACAUACAGUUCCCUGAUUCCUGUCCCAAGAAUAUGACAUCCUCUUUUCCAUCCAUGGGCACCUAAACAGAUGUGUAAACACACCCCAUGCACAUAAAUGGGAACAAAUAACUCCUCAUUUGUAUGUGUGUGUGGAUUUCAUUCCAUGCAAGUGAAGGUCAGAAGACAACUUCAGAGUCAGCUCACCCUUCCCUUCCACCAUGUGGCUCCUGAGGACUGUACUUAGGUUGUCAAUUUUCUUACGAGUAUGAGUGUUUUGCCUGAGUGAAUGUAUGCACCAUGUGCAUGUAGCUCCUGCAGUGUCUAGAUCAGGGCACCAGAUCCCUGGACUACGGGUUAUAGGUAAUUAUGAGCGUCACAUGGGUAAGGGAAUUUAACUGGGUCCUCUGGAUCUUAAGUGCUGAGCCACCUUUCUAGCUCCUAAAUAAUCUUUAAAAAUAAAGAAAGAACAAAGAAGGCAUGGCGGUACAUACUUUUAAUCCAAGCCCUAGGGAGGCAGAGGCAGGCAGAUUUCUUGAAUUUCAGGCUAGCCAGGUCUACAGAGCCAGGUCUAGCCAAGGCUACACAGAGAAACCCUGUCUUGAAAUUUCAGGGGCAGGGGGAAAGCACAGGAUAAUUUUCACUUUAGUCUUUUAUUAAUAUGGCUUUUUUUGAGACAAGGAAUUCUGGCGGGUCUGGAACUUGGGUUACACAGACCAGGAUGAGUUCACGGAGAUCUACUUGACAAUUAGAGGCAUGGCCAUCACACCUGGCUCCUCAUCCUGCCAUUCACCCUUCCAGACAGAAGGAUCCUUGCUUUUGCAUGUGCUUGGGCUGGACACCUAUGCUAAGCAAUAGCUCUCCCACUGAGCUCUCCGUCCAGCUCUCACAGGCAUACUCUGCAGGCAGCUCAAGACACUGACAGCACCAGGCAGUCAGGAAACGGAUCAGGGCACACUCGACCAUGGUUAUACCAGAGGAGUUGCUGCAGAUUUUGAUUUCUUGAUAUUCUGAAGUAUUCAGUAUGAGUUAUAUGUUAUUGUUUUUUCAAGAUAUGGUUUCUUGGGGGGGGGAGUAUAGGGGACUUUCGGGAUAGCAUUUGAAAUGUAAAUGAAGAAAAUAUCUAAUAAUAAUAAUAAUAAUAAUAAAAAGAUAUGGUUUCUCUGUAGUUCUGGCUGUCCUGGAACUCAUUCUGCAGACCAGACUGGCCUCAAGCUCAGAGAUCUGCUUGCCUGUGUCUCUCAAAUACUAAGAUUAUGCAUCACCACAUUACUAAAGAUCAUGUAGUGAUAAAGCUAAAUAAUCGUUCUAAUUCAUAAAAAGGGAUCAAACCAGUAACUGUGCUUGUCUCAUUUAGUCCACAAAGCAAGGCUAGCUUCUCUGUUCUUGGGGACACCCAAAGGCCUUCUUCAUGUUCAUUAGCCAUCAGCCAAAGAUUUCCCCAAUAACACCAAGCACGCUCACCGACCAGCUGGCGGGACAGCAGCUCUUUUUGCUCACCUGCUUCUAUGAAUUAGUAAUCUUUGCACUACUCAAGUAAGGACACUCUUCCCCCUGAAGUAUGUGGGACAGAUUAUAAAUCACAGCUUUCACCAGUUCACAAGGAAACUUGUCAGCAGAACGAAAAUGUGAAAGGUAGGAAUUUCUGCCAAGACUAGAACAAUAGCAACAAAUGACAUUUAAGCAGAAUGACAAGAAUUCUUCUAAAUGUUAAAAAAAAAUGGAAACUUACAGUAGAUGUCUUCUGACACAUGCUGCACUUGGGCAAACUGCUAUCAGUAUAUAUGGUAACACCUGGUUUUCUUUUUUCUUCAUAUGAUGUAAGACAAGAUUGGCUACAAAAGUUUUUGUCACAACUACUAUCCUCCAACUGGACACUCUUCAUAUCCUUUAGACUUAAAAUGUCUCUAAAAACAAACAAUAAAUGCUUGUUAAUAGAACAAUAAAUAUAUAAAGUAACUUAUGAGUUUCUGUGUGUACACAUGAGGGGCCCAGAGCAAGGCGUUGGGCAUUUUUCCCUCUUGCUCUCUGUAUUGUCCUGACCCAGUUUCUCACUGAAUUGGGAGCAAGAAUCACUGUAUGGGCUAUGCUGGUUGGGCAGUGAGCUCUUGGGAUCCUUCUGCCAUGUUUUUACUGCAAAACAAAACAAUUUAGUUCCAGAAAUUAAGGAUGCUGUCAAUAAAACAACAUUUUCAAGUUAUUUUAAUUUGAACCUUGACAAUUUCUAGCACCCACAUGGCAGCUCACAACUGUCUGUAAUUCUUGUUCCAGGGGAUCCAGUGCCCUCUUCUGGACUCCAAGGGCAAUGCAUGCCCUUAAUACACAGACUAAAAGCAGGUAAAAGAAUAAAUAAACUUGAAUAUUUGCGUG
rnacentral:lncRNA from 1 species